rnacentral:misc_RNA from 1 species
CCAAUAGCGUAUAUUAAAGUUGUUGCAGUUAAAAAGCUCGUAGUUGAACUUCGGGGUUUACUUAUUGGUCAGGCUUAAUUGUCUGCACUGGUAAGAUGAAUCUCUACCUUCUGAGGAACUUUCAUGCCAUUUAUUUGGUGUGAUUGGAAAUCAGGACUGUUACUUUGAAAAAAUUAGAGUGUUUAAAGCAGGCUAACGUCUGAAUACAUUAGCAUGGAAUAAUGAAAUAGGACGGACUGAUUCUAUUUCGUUGGUUUCUAGGAUCACCGUAAUGAUUAAUAGGGAUAGUUGGGGGCAUUAGUAUUCAAUUGUCAGAGGUGAAAUUCUUGGAUUUAUUGAAGACUAACUACUGCGAAAGCAUUUGCCAAGGAUGUUUUCAUUAAUCAAGAACGAAAGUUAGGGGAUCGAAGACGAUCAGAUACCGUCGUAGUCUUAACCAUAAACUAUGCCGACUAGGGAUCGGACGAAGUUAAUUUUAUAAUGACGCGUUCGGCACCUUACG